CAGGUGUCGCAAGACUCAAUAGAGAAGCCGGUCAAGUCCGGCGCGGUCCCGCCACUGUAUCAGGGAGCGCCGCUGCAGAGAUGUCACUGGGGACGGAGAAGCGUCCUUCGGGAAGGCGCAGCGGCGCGAGGAACUGGAGCCAGGAGAACUGCCUGAUAG
rnacentral:ncRNA from 1 species